GUCAUAGACCCCACAGCUAAAGCCGGGGGCUUGAAGGUGCCUGAGAGCCUUCAGCGCAGGCCGGUACCUAUGACCAGCCCGAGCGCCGGAGCCCGAAGGACAAGGGCGAUGAAGGCGCUACGUUCUGUGGGUGAUGGCACCCUGGGGUGCUUCUCCAGCUCCAGGCCCUGCC
rnacentral:sRNA from 15 species